rnacentral:misc_RNA from 1 species
AAGUCGUAACAAGGUCUCCGUAGGUGAACCUGCGGAGGGAUCAUUACCGAGUGAGGGCCCCGCCCGACCCUCCCAACCCUUUGUAAACCGACCCUGUCGCCUCGGGGACUCCGGCGUCUUCGGGCGCCGGGCCCCCGUGGACCCCGAACCCAUCUGCGUCUUUGCGUCUAAGUCUUGAAUGAUAAAUCAAUAAAA